AACGAACGCUGGCGGCAUGCCUAACACAUGCAAGUCGAACGGGAUCCUAGCUUGCUAGGUGAGAGUGGCGGACGGGUGAGUAACACGUGGGAAUCUGCCUUUUGGUUCGGGAUAACCGCGGGAAACUGCGGCUAAUACCGAAUGCCCUCGAGAGAGGAAAGAUUUAUCGCCAGAAGAGGAGCCCGCGUCCGAUUAGGUAGUUGGUGGGGUAAAAGGCUACCAAGCCGACGAUCGGUAGCUGGUCUGAGAGGAUGAUCAGCACACUGGGACUGAGAUACGGCCCAGACUCCUACGGGAGGCAGCAGUGGGAAUAUUGGACAAUGGGGCAACCCUGAUCCAGCAAUGCCGCGUGAGUGAUGAAGG
rnacentral:rRNA from 1 species